AAUUGUUCAGAUUUGUCAAAAAAGCUCUUUCCGGGAAGAAUAGGUACUUGCUUGAAAAAGUCUUUUAACAAAUCUGGACUAUAGUCUAUAGAGAAGCCGGGGCAAUGUUGAAGUGCUUAAGGGUAUUGUGUAUCGCAACAGUUUGACAGACGUAAUAGGUAGACAGUUUAAGUCUUGAGUGUUUAAAAGCGAGAAUGGGGUUCUACAACUCGAGUCUAAUCUUGAAAUGAGGCAUAUAGCACUUACCAUCGUGCUAAGUCACAAUCCCAUAGAAAGUGGUAUGAUUGUUGAGUUGUUUCAAAGAUGGCCAAACUCAAAAGAAGCUUAAAAAGGCUCAUCCCUUUAAAAGUUUGAGUUGUAAGAACCAAGCGGAUAGCCAGGUGGUCCAGGAAUCCCUCAAAUGGAAUUGGAAGUUGGAUACAUAGAUCGGCAUUUGAUUUCACCUGAAUUGUUGCAUCUAUAUUCUUGAAGAUAAGUUCUAGUUUCAAGCUUAUGCCAUCCCAAUGUUCCUUGAACAUUUCUCAGUGACAAGUGAUUUGCGGCUCAUCUUGCCACAGAUGUGAGUAGUUUGCGCUGGAGAUGCAAAUGGGAAGGGUUGAUUCAGGGCAAAGUUGUAUGUGGUUUAUGCAGAAGAUAUGAAGGGAAUGAAGGUUGAUUCUGGGCAAAGCUAGUGAAGCCAAUGAUGCUGGUUUUCACACUGCUGGGGACGAUGUUUUCUGUACCGUUCCAAUUUUAGGAGAUGUCCCCGAAGGGACUGCUGGGGAUGAUGUUUGGUGCUGCUUUGGCGCUGGUUUUAUCAGUGUUUGGUGGCAACUGAAGUGGUGACUAUAUGAAGGGGUUCUGAUAUGCGUAAAUUUGGACGCGGAAGUUAAAUAUUACUGGAAUUGAUUGUGUAUCGAGUUAUUUGCAGUUUUCGGUUCUUGUAUAUUUCUUCUGGUUGGUUCCUGCCAACUGUAUGCAUUUAACUUUCCAUUUCCUUUUUG